CAUGAAGCUGGAAUCGCUAGUAAUCGCAGAUCAGAAUGCUGCGGUGAAUACGUUCCCGGGUCUUGUACACACCGCCCGUCACACCAUGGGAGUCGGAAAUGCCCGAAGUCGGUGACCCAACCAUUUACGGAGGGAGCUGCCGAAGGCAGGUCUGGUGACUGGGGUGAAGUCGUAACAAGGUAAC
rnacentral:rRNA from 1 species